rnacentral:tRNA from 1 species
GAUACUGCGCCGGGAAUGAACGGAUAACUCUGAUGACGUUAACAACGAGGUAUACCUCCAGUAUCU